rnacentral:rRNA from 1 species
GACGAACGCUGGCGGCGUGCUUAAUACAUGCAAGUCAACUUGACUUUAGAUAGCAAUAUCGAAAGUAGGGUGGCGCACGGGUGCGUAACGCGUAGGUAAUCUGCCCUGAGGUCCGACAUAACCCGUCGAAAGGCGGCUAACAUCAGAUGAUAUAUAAUCACGACAUCGUGGAAAUAUCAAAUCUUCGGAGCCUUGGGAUGAGCCUGCGUCUGAUUAGGUAGUUGGCGGAGUAAUAGCCCACCAAGCCUACGAUCAGUAGCUGGUCUGAAAGGAUGAUCAGCCACACUGGAACUGAGACACGGUCCAGACUCCUACGGGAGGCAGCAGUAAGGAAUAUUGCUCAAUGGGGGAAACCCUGAAGCAGCAACGCCGCGUGAAGGAUGAAAUACUUUGUAUGUAAACUUCUGUAAGAUGGGAAAAUAUUCUCCUCGGGAGAAUUGAUUGUACCAUCAGAGUAAGCCCCGGCUAACUACGUGCCAGCAGCCG